rnacentral:lncRNA from 1 species
CACAUGUGUGUAAGAUUUUCAUUGAGAUUGUUUUUUAUAAAGUGGAUCCUAUAAAACCCAUUACACUCCAGCUUUGUUUCUUCACUUAAGGAUUGAUACCUCUCCAGGUUAAUACAUACAGAUCUUAAGUAUUUAACAAAUGGUGUUUACUAUUCCAUGAUAUGGAUGUGGUACCAUUUAUUAGACUUUCUUGGUAUCCCAUUUUAAGAGGAAUACUGGCGAAUAGGGGACAGGAUAACUUUCCAGGGUGGGAUGGCAAAAGAUAGAGCCAGAAGCCAUGAUAUACAAAGAAUGAUGGAAGCAACCAGAGCUAUUUAAAUGGGAGAAUGAAAGGGGAGGGUUGAGCCAAGGGGAGGAUUGGUUGGGUUCAUUAACUAAUAUUGGGAUUUUGCUCAGUGUAAGGUGGAACAAGUCAAUGAUUCUGUUUAGUAUUUGGUUCCUUGUCAGGAUAGGGCUGCGGAAGGGGAGAAGAAAGACUCCAUUUCCUUCAAGUGGCUGGAGGUAUGUGCAAAAACAGCUUUUGGGGUAAACAAGUCUGCCCUACCUCCACUCCAUCACCAGAAUGCUGGCAGGCACCAAGCAACCUCCACAGCUCCUUUCACUUUCUCCAGCUACAACAUGGUACUCCUGAGACACUUUGGAAGCAGUGACCCAGGAGACCAGCAGGUGGCACAUGGGAACCAGGUUACACACGCCAUUGCCCAGGACCAAGAUGGAAGAGGCUGACGUAGAGCAAGGUCAGUUGGCUGACUUGAGGCUGACUUGGCUGACUGACUCCUCAGUCUUGAGAAAUUGAAUGCUGCCUAUGAGGACCACAAAAAUCUGUAGGACUGCAGGACUUAAGUGAUUAAAAUGCAGGGAGGGUAAGACCAGAGCAACACUAAAGGAUGGGAACAGCAUAAUAGUCAUUCUUUUAACCUCUCCUAAUCCUUUCUCUCAAACUGAGUUACCUCAUAUCAGGAUCGUAAACUGAAGAACAUACAUUGUAGGUAAAGCAACAAGCGUAGUAUGAAGAGCUCAACAUUGGUUGCUAUAAAAUAAAUACUCUCUGGUUGAGUUGAACA